CUCGGAGGCUGGGUAUUUCCUCUCGGCCACUCCCUCUGACCUCGGACGCAGGGUAGCUCCUCUCGGCUGCCACCCCCCUCCCCCGACCUCAGACGCGGGGUAUCUCCUCUCGGCCGCCCACCCUGACCUCAGACGUGGAGUAGCUCCUUUCGGCCGUCCCUGCGCCGUCGCAGUCUGGAACUCUCGGCUGCUGCCCCUGACCUCGGACGUGGGUCUUGCUGAUAUGAGUGACAGAGUGAGAAAAUUCAGAGACAACUGGUGGUUAAAUUGCAACUAAAUCUCAUGAAGCCGUGGAGACACCAGAGAUUAACAUCUGACGUGUGCCUGGCAUUGAAGAUGGUAAAGACACAGUAUGGAAGGAGGCUGGGUCUCUGAAUCACUGCUUGGAGGAGUCCUCUGCUUUUUUUUUUUUUUUUUCUGUAAACAAAG
ensembl:lncRNA